CAUCACAUCAAAUAAAACAGCGUUUAGAAAUAACUUCGGUUUCCUUCCUCAGCUCUAUGAAAAAGCACAUCCAAGAAUUUUGUCGCAGAUUAAAAAGAAUGUUUACUUACCACAGCUUUCUGGUAUGUGUGAAUUCAUAAGACCAAGCUCCCAAGCUCGCUUUAUAAGUGGAACAGGAUACUGAAACAGACAUGGAGCAGCUCUUGAUAGACUAAUGCAUAGCUUUGCCACCAAAAGGUUUUGUCUACACUUGGAAAAGUGGAUUCAAACUAAUGCUGAAAGUGAUACCCUAUAUGAAAGAAGCUGUAAAAUUUAAACCAGUGAAAUUAUGUCUAUUGUAAUAUAGUAUGCAAGAUAACACUUAAGAUUACUCUGGAAAAACUCAACAAUACCCCCGCCAAGAAAUAUGGACAGAUGGGACUCAGACCUGGAAGGUACAUGACUGAUCAGAUGACAAAGGAUGAGGGUUUGCUACAUGUAAAAAUUUGGAUAACCAUCUGUCUGCUUGUCAUCUUUCCCACUGCUUAACUCUGAGGAACAGUUGGAUUCAGUGACAAACUACUGCUAGUGAUGUUCAGAUACAACUCCUACUGCAUUUCCUUGCACUACUGUAUAAAUUCUGUGGCAAUUACAAAUGCAAUCAUCAGUAUAGCAAGACUAACACUGGAAGAAUGUGCUGCCAGAAAAGGGUAUGACAAAGCUACUCACAAAAGUGAUGCAAUCUCUUUAUUACCUUGAUGACAAAAGAGCUAUAGAACCUGUUUGAAAAGAUGCACGUCACAGAAAACAGUGGGACAACUAUAAGCUAAGGGUCGCUAACUUUGAUUCUGCCUCAUGUAUCUCAGGGCAAAAAGGAAAAGAAUUAUCAAGCGUUUGUUGCGGGGGUAACAUGUCAGGAAGCUGAACUUGAAAUAGUAAUUUCCUCCCUAUGGGCUUCCUUUGCCUAAAGCAUUACUUUUGAGCCACAAUAUACCAACUUCAGAUGGAGACUUCUUCCCUCACUGACUUCUCUCACUCUCACAGCAACACUCAGGGCCAGCAGCCAAGCUGCAUCAAUUUGGGGCAAACUAACACUGCUACUAGGAGGUUGUAAGGGGCCUUUCAAGUAACUCAGACUCAUGAAUGCCUCUGGAAAUGGGGAUUCUAGAAAAAGGCAUGUGCAAUGCUAAAUGAGUUUUGAAUAGUUUUAAUUUUCUAGUUUGAAGCUGUGGGGUUAUUGGUGGUUCAAUACAGUAGAAAGUUUGUACUUUAGAAAACCAACUAUUAUAUUUCAUACAUGUUUUUUAAAAAUAACAUACGUAGUACAGCUACGUACGCUAAAGGAAAUGCAUUGGAUAAAAUACCCUGAACUCUAAUCCCGGUGUUUUGAAGCCGUCUCCACCGUUAAAUGGAGAGGUGCCAGACACACUUGGCACGACGCGGCCUUUGCCCCAUGCCCCCAGGGCUGUGCAGUAUCGCCAGUGAAGAACAUCAAAUGGCAAUACCCAUUCGAACCGUGAGGAUUACGGCCAUAAACUCGGGUAAUACUGCGAGGCAGGAAAAGCAGCACAGCGGGUGGAUUCUAGCCCCGUCAGCUCUCCCAAGCGGGGCAGCCCCUAUGCCCGCAGCUGUCCGGACAGUCACGGCGGGCGGAACGCAGGCUGGCCCUGCCUCUUCCGCCCUUCGCCCUCUGCGAUCCCGCCGCCCUUCCCCGCCGCCCGGGCUCCCCUGGCCGCUAGCACCGGCAGCGCCUCGGUCCGGUCCGGUCCGAUCCGUCCCGUCCCGUGCCUCUGCCUGGGUCUUGUGUCCCCCUAGCG